GUAGUCCACGCUGUAAACGAUGAGUGCUAGGUGUGAGAGGUUUCAACACCUUUCGUGCCGCAGUUAACACAAUAAGCACUCCGCCUGGGGAGUACGGUCGCAAGACUGAAACUCAAAGGAAUUGACGGGGGCCCGCACAAGCGGUGGAGCAUGUGGUUUAAUUCGAAGCAACGCGAAGAACCUUACCAGGGCUUGACAUCCCUCUGACGGCUCUAGAGAUAGGGCGUCCCUUCGGGGCAGAGGAGACAGGUGGUGCAUGGUUGUCGUCAGCUCGUGUCGUGAGAUGUUGGGUUAAGUCCCGCAACGAGCGCAACCCUUGAGCUUAGUUGCCAGCAUUGAGUUGGGCACUCUAGGCUGACUGCCGCAGACAAUGCGGA
rnacentral:rRNA from 1 species